rnacentral:lncRNA from 1 species
UAAACUAAUCUCCAAUGGCCUUACAUUCUCUUUCAUUGAAAAGAGUAAGGAUGUGAAAAGCCAUAGGCUGUAUCUGCACAUAUAAAUGGAAGGAUUAUUUUCCUGAUACAAUGGCCCAAGAGAUUUCUGAGAAUUCAAAUAUCUGCCCAGACCGGAUGGAAGAAAAAUUCUAGUCACAGGAUUGAGUAAAAAGUCUUCCGUCAGCUUGUGGACAUACCAUCACAAGAUCACCAGCUCCUAAUAUGAGAAGUCAGCUCCUAUGUAGACUAGAUGGAAGCACG